rnacentral:rRNA from 1 species
GUGCUUAACACAUGCAAGUCGAACGAUGAAGCCUGGCUUGCUGGGUGGAUUAGUGGCGAACGGGUGAGUAACACGUGAGUAACCUGCCCUUGACUCUGGGAUAAGCGCUGGAAACGGCGUCUAAUACCGGAUAUGACCUGCCCCGGCAUCGGGUGUGGGUGGAAAGUUUUUCGGUCAAGGAUGGACUCGCGGCCUAUCAGCUUGUUGGUGAGGUAAUGGCUCACCAAGGCGACGACGGGUAGCCGGCCUGAGAGGGUGACCGGCCACACUGGGACUGAGACACGGCCCAGACUCCUACGGGAGGCAGCAGUGGGGAAUAUUGCACAAUGGGCGAAAGCCUGAUGCAGCAACGCCGCGUGGGGGAUGACGGCCUUCGGGUUGUAAACCUCUUUUAGUAGGGAAGAAGGGCUUCGGCUUGACGGUACCUGCAGAAAAAGCACCGGCUAACUACGUGCCAGCAGCCGCGGUAAUACGUAGGGUGCAAGCGUUGUCCGGAAUUAUUGGGCGUAAAGAGCUCGUAGGCGGUUUGUCGCGUCUGCUGUGAAAACCCGAGGCUCAACCUCGGGCCUGCAGUGGGUACGGGCAGACUAGAGUGCGGUAGGGGAGAAUGGAAUUCCUGGUGUAGCGGUGGAAUGCGCAGAUAUCAGGAGGAACACCGAUGGCGAAGGCAGUUCUCUGGGCCGUUACUGACGCUGAGGAGCGAAAGCGUGGGGAGCGAACAGGAUUAGAUACCCUGGUAGUCCACGCCGUAAACGUUGGGAACUAGAUGUGGGGGCCUUUCCACGGUCUCCGUGUCGCAGCUAACGCAUUAAGUUCCCCGCCUGGGGAGUACGGCCGCAAGGCUAAAACUCAAAGGAAUUGACGGGGGCCCGCACAAGCGGCGGAGCAUGCGGAUUAAUUCGAUGCAACGCGAAGAACCUUACCAAGGCUUGACAUAUACCGGAAACUUCCAGAGAUGGUUGCCCCGCAAGGUCGGUAUACAGGUGGUGCAUGGUUGUCGUCAGCUCGUGUCGUGAGAUGUUGGGUUAAGUCCCGCAACGAGCGCAACCCUCGUUCUAUGUUGCCAGCACGUUAUGGUGGGAACUCAUAGGAGACUGCCGGGGUCAACUCGGAGGAAGGUGGGGAUGACGUCAAAUCAUCAUGCCCCUUAUGUCUUGGGCUUCACGCAUGCUACAAUGGCCGGUACAAAGGGCUGCGAUACCGUAAGGUGGAGCGAAUCCCAAAAAGCCGGUCUCAGUUCGGAUUGAGGUCUGCAACUCGACCUCAUGAAGUCGGAGUCGCUAGUAAUCGCAGAUCAGCAACGCUGCGGUGAAUACGUUCCCGGGCCUUGUACACACCGCCCGUCAAGUCAUGAAAGUCGGUAACACCCGAAGCCAGUGGCCUAACCGUAAGGA